rnacentral:rRNA from 1 species
GACGAACGCUGGCGGCGUGCUUAACACAUGCAAGUCGAACGGAAAGGCCCUGCUUUUGCGGGGUUCUCGAGUGGCGAACGGGUGAGUAACACGUGAGUAACCUGCCCUUGACUUUGGGAUAACUUCAGGAAACUGGGGCUAAUACCGGAUAGGAGCUCCUGCUGCAUGUUGGGGGUUGGAAAGUUUCGGCGGUUGUGGAUGGACUCGCGGCUUAUCAGCUUGUUGGUGGGGUAGUGGCUUACCAAGGCUUUGACGGGUAGCCGGCCUGAGAGGGGGACCGGCCACAUGGGGACUGAGAUACGGCCCAGACGCCUACGGGAGGCAGCAGUGGAGAAUAUUGCACAAUGGGCGGAAGCCUGAUGCAGCAACGCCGCGUGCGGGAUGACGGCCUUCUGGUUGUAAACCGCUUUCGCCUGUGACGAAGCGGGAGUGACGGUAAUGGGUAAAGAAGCACCGGCUAACUACGUG